rfam:Jatropha curcas cultivar GZQX0401 scaffold20_142, whole genome shotgun sequence.
AGUAAAAUGAUGAGUUUGUUUAGAUCUGAAUUUAAAUGUGGAAUUUCUUUUGGUCUUCAAAGUUCUCUGAUUGCU